GGGAAGGUAUCUCAAUGGUAGAGUGCUUGCCUCGCAAGCAUGAGGUCCUGGGUUCGAUUCCUCAGCACCA
rnacentral:tRNA from 1 species